GAUUGAACGCUGGCGGCAGGCCUAACACAUGCAAGUCGAACGGUAACAGGAAGCAGCUUGCUGCUUUGCUGACGAGUGGCGGACGGGUGAGUAAUGUCUGGGAAACUGCCUGAUGGAGGGGGAUAACUACUGGAAACGGUAGCUAAUACCGCAUAACGUCGCAAGACCAAAGAGGGGGACCUUCGGGCCUCUUGCCAUCGGAUGUGCCCAGAUGGGAUUAGCUAGUAGGUGGGGUAACGGCUCACCUAGGCGACGAUCCCUAGCUGGUCUGAGAGGAUGACCAGCCACACUGGAACUGAGGCACGGUCCAGACUCCUACGGGAGGCAGCAGUGGGGAAUAUUGCACAAUGGGCGCAAGCCUGAUGCAGCCAUGCCGCGUGUAUGAAGAAGGCCUUCGGGUUGUAAAGUACUUUCAGCGGGGAGGAAGGGAGUAAAGUUAAUACCUUUGCUCAUUGACGUUACCCGCAGAAGAAGCACCGGCUAACUCCGUG
rnacentral:rRNA from 1 species